CGGCUUAAGUGCAGCAGGAUUUUCAUAUAAAAAAAACUAAAUUAAAAGACUUAUGGUGUCUAAUAACGUUUUAGCUGUCUAAUAAUUUUAAUCACAGACUAUUACGCAGGCCGGCAGGCGUAUCAAAAAAGGUUUGGCUUAAUAACAGGUGGAGGCGUGCGUUGCGCCCCCGCUACCAGGCAAGCAGACAACUGUAGCAGACAAUGAGACAACAAAUCAACAAAGGUGGUGCAUGAAAAACUUGAAAAAAAGGUUUCUGGGGUUUGUAGUACUUUGCUUGCUACAAAUGGCGCUCCGUAGUCCGUAGUUAUUGUGAAUAUCGAAAAACAUUCACACUGUCACACAUAUUAGCAUUAUAACAUAUUGAAUUUCAGAGUUCAAAUAACCUUUUUGACAUCCGAUGGACAAAAUUUCUCAACAAGAAACGAUGAUAUCGAAAAUCAAUGGCUCGUGUCCGACGUCUCCAAUAUAUUCCCAUGACUAUUGUUUUUCCUAAUAGCUCAUGGAAGAUUCCCGCGAAUGAGACUCUCUUGGCCUCUUCUAUGAUUUGACCAUUCGCGGCAGCCGGCAGGUGACAACCUCAGAUGAAUUACUCAACAGGUUUCUUGUACAGUACCUGCAGAUUGAAAAGAAGAACACCACAGUGGACUACCAUCACCGGUAUAUCUAACUGGACGCCCUCCUGUUUCCUAGAUCUCGCGAAAGUUUGUCUGCUAUACUUAUAAGUUUGUAGACCUAUUCCAAUCCCCAGCAACAUCAAUCUGCAGAAGGAAAGCCCUGUUUGCAUGCCCUUGACUUUCGAAGGUCACCGAGAUCAUUACGUAAAACGUGUCAUGCAGUGGUGUAGAGGUUGGGUGAGAACGACCCAUCCCCAGCAACGUCAACCUGCGGAACCAGUUUUCUUGUCCUUAGCGCUCGAAGGUCACGGAGAUCAUUAAGUAAUACGUAUCAUGCGACGGCGGAGAGGUUGGGUGAGAAAGGAGAGAGAAAAGGCCAGAGACAUCAGUCGAGUGAGGAUCUCCGACACGGCAACAACUGCAGCGCACUCUCUGUCACCAUCUGCCUUCUUCAGCGUAUUGCCAGUUCGUAUCCAUGGUUAAUAAGGCGUCGUACGCUGUUCGGUGUUGUGUCGUUGUUUGGUGGGUCGACCACUGGUGUAUCGAUGUCUUCUUGGUAUGGCGGCUACCAAACCGCAACGCCGCCGCCUUCCCAAAAGCAACUCACGCAACGACCAGUUAUUGCACCAAGGUCUACAAGUACUACACUACUAAGGCACCGGAGUUUUAUACCAUAAUUUCCGCUGCCCCGAGCCACUACACUGACGUCCUGAAGUAUUACUCUGCCCCGAGUUACUACACCACCAAGGCAACGGAGUAUGACUAUGCAUUCUGCCCCAUCCUACUACAUCGAGGCUCCCAACUGCUACACCGAGGCUCCCGCUGAUUACUCCACCGAAGCGGCAAAGUACUACUCUGCCC